GGAAGUGUCAAUAUUAUCUAGGGAGUGAUUAAAGGAAGGAGGAAAAGACCAUAAAGGAUUCAGGUGGAGUUAGGAAAGCAGGCUUGAAGUGUGGGAACAAACAGAAUUUUGGAAUGACAAGAAAAGUAAGCAGAGAUGAAGAGUGAGUACAGCCAGUUUUGAAUCAGAAUAUAUCAGAAUAUAAUUUUUCAAAGAGAAUGGAAAGGAUUGAACCCUGAAGGUAGAAAAAAGGAAUGUAAGAAAGGAUAAAUUGGAUGACUCCUGACUUUUUUUUUUUUUUUAGUAGGCCCUAGGAAAUAGUACAUAACCAUAUAAAUUGCCCUCAGUUCUCCCUGCCCUAGGCAAGUACUAAUCUAAUAUAAGUAUAGAAGUCUGAGACCCUAGGUUUAAUACUUGGCACUGCAACAACAAACGAAGACAAAACAAAAAACUUGAGAGAUCAGUUAAAAAGAAAGAAAAGAACUUAAGACCACUGCAGGCAGGGUUUGGAUGGGAAGAGGGGAUAUGUAUUAUGAGCAGGUGACCAGCAUGAACAAAGAUUUGGGCUUGGAACAAGCAUGGUGUAUGCUGCAUUUUCAGGGACCUGAUCCAUGGGCUUGGAGUGGAGGAUUCUGGUGGCAGAAUAUGCAAGAUAAUGAAACUAGGUUCUAGGGGUUUGGGGAUGAAUAGAAGAAGUUAGACUUUUUAUAUAUGUGAAUUCUUUUUUUUUUUCUUUUUGUUACUAGGGAUUGAAUGCAG
rnacentral:lncRNA from 1 species